rnacentral:lncRNA from 1 species
AAACUAGGAUUAGUAAAGCUAAAUACCCAUUUCACCAAUUAUGAUUCAUGUAAGCUAAAUCACUUUUAGUUGUAGAACAAACCCAUUUUAAGAGUGACGAUCAUUUGGAUGGCCUGCCCGAUUGACAUGAUCAUGGUAUCACUAAAACAUUGAGUUAAAACUAUGAUUUGAUGAAGUAUAAGGCAAGGUUGACAGUGUCUUUUACAUAACACAUUACUUAUUUUACAUUGUUCUCAGAGUGUAGAGCUAGUAAAAUCCUGUCUAAAUGCCAGCUUUACAAACCACCUGUAUCCAAUACCCCAUAUCCAUCGAGAUAGACAAAUCGAACAGCAUAGUAGACCGCUGGUAACAGGACAAAGAUAAGAACCCACAUGAAAGUUGCACAGCAGAGAGAGAAUCCGACAUGAGUCUGAAGACUUAGCCGAGAUGAUGAGGUUUGCAUUCGUUUUGAGCUUCCAUGGAAUUUUUCUUAGCCACCGUGGUUGUAGAAUCACUUGCAGCGAUAGAGAUUGCCUUUUGGAUUCGUCGGAGCCCAACCAUAUUGGAAUCCAGAUUGGUCUUAAAGUCCAAAUUUAUUCAAAGAAAAACCAAUUAGGCCCAAAAUAAUGAACCCAACCCAUUGAGAAAAUAAAACCCCAAAAUCGUGCCCAGUCCGUGGCCCAGCAGCUCAGUAUUCUUCCCCAGACGGCAUCGUUUUGGAAAGGAUAUUUUUUGCCUUCUCCGGAAUCAGCCACGACAGAGAGGAGGAGAGGCGCGUAAGCCAGAAGACCGAAACAGAGGGAAAAAAGAGAGUAAGUGAAGACCAGGUGGGGGGCUUGGUGAUGAUGACGAACGGCAUGGACCAUGAAUGAAAUAAAUGGACAUCAGGAGUUUGAAGCAGGUAAGAUAAGUUCGACACCAUAGGUAAAAAAAAAAAAAAAAAAGCAGAAGAUGGUGACGACGACGACGCCGAAAAACAGAGCAAGCAGAGAGAGAGAGAGAGAGAGAGAGGCGAGAUAGCGUGAAGGAGAGUGAACCUGGCUGUAAUGAUUUUUGAUGAGUGAUAGUGAAGAAAACUGAGAUUUCAGCUAUAAUUAGGAGGCGAUUGGGAUAGAAGGAGACAGGUUUUCCAGUGAGCUGGGGAGUGGAAGGGGUACGAAGAGAAGCAGAGGAGGGGAGAAAGGGGGAGGGGAUUCUUCGGUUUUAAAUCUAUUAUGCGUAAAAUAUUAUUAAAUUAAUUAAAUCCGGUUAAAAAAUAAUUUAAUAUAAUUAAAAAUAUAUUAAGCUUUAAUGUGUUAAAUUAAAAUAUAAUUUUUAUAUGUAAAAAUUAAAUUUAUGAUAUUAUUAAUUAAAUAUUAUAAUAUUUUUUAAAUAUUAUCUUAUAAAUAACUAUAAAAAUUAUUAAUUUUAAAAUCUAUUAAUACAAAAUUAUUAGCAAAAAGGGUACAAAUAUAAAGAAUAGUCACAUGGUCUUUAUAAAAAACUAUCUAUUAAUAAAUUAAUAAGGACUCUCUUAAAAUUGAUUUAAAAAUCAUUUUAUAUAAAUAAAUUUAAUAGAAUUAAUAAUUAUAUUAUUACUUAUUAAUUGAUAAGGUAUUUUAUAAUACUUAAUUUAAAUUAAAUAAAAAACAAAUUAGUUUAUAUUUAUCACGUUUAUAUUUAGUUUACACGUUCGUGACUUGGAGGUUAAAAGCCGUUUAUUCCGGUCGGCUAUUUUGACCGUCAAAGCUUAGACCGGACACAGUUUCGCCACGUAACUUCUCCGACCAUUAUCGUAGUAGACGCACACCAGGAGAGCCGACCGCCUCAGUCAACGCUAUUCUCUUCUAUUUAAUUCCAGUUCCCAGACUCCGCACGCCAAUACUGAAUCCAGAGUCACCAUCAGUAUCAGAGUGUUCAUCACAGAGAUGGCGCAGAUUUCCGGACCUUCAAUCGAUCCAAGAACUGGGUUUUGCGAAUCUAAUUCUGUAUUCUACAGUAAGAGGAAGCCCAUAGCACUCCCACCAAACCAAUCCCUGGACAUCACCACGUUCAUAUCAUCCCGAGCUCACCAUGGCAAGACCGCUUUUAUUGACGCCGCCACAGGCCGUCACCUCAGCUUCUCUGAGCUCUGGAGAGCCGUUGAUUCCGUUGCGUCGUGUCUCUCCGAGAUGGGCAUCCGAAAGGGAAACGUCAUCCUCCUCCUAUCUCCCAACUCCAUUUUCUUCCCCGUCGUCUGCCUUUCCGUUAUGUCACUCGGCGCCGUUAUCACCACCACCAACCCUCUAAACACCCCCCGGGAAAUCGCCAAGCAGAUCUCCGAUUCGAAACCCGUCCUCGCCUUUACGACUCGACAACUCGUCCCAAAACUCGCCGAUUCAAAGCUUCCCAUCGUUCUCCUCGAUGAGGAGCUUGCCAUUCCCUCCAUUGAGGCUAAAAUUAUAACGACCUUGGGUAAAAUGAUGAAGAGGCAACCGAGUGGAAGCCGGGUGAGGGACCGAGUCGACCAGGAAGACACGGCCACUCUGCUUUACUCGUCAGGUACAACCGGCGCCAGCAAGGGAGUCGUAUCAUCCCAUCGGAACCUGAUCUCCAUGGUACAAACAAUCUUAGGGCGAUUCUUUUUAGAAGACGGAGAGCACAUAUUCUUAUGUACGGUGCCGAUGUUCCACAUAUACGGUCUGGUGGCGUUUGCAAUGGGCAUACUGGCAUCAGGAUCAACGGUGGUGGUUCUGUCUAAGUUCGAGAUGCACGAGAUGUUAUCGUCGAUUGAAAAGUACCGGGCGACGUACCUGCCACUUGUGCCGCCGAUACUGGUAGCAAUGAUGAAUGGGAGGAAUCAGAUAAAGGGCAAAUACGAUCUUAGUUCGCU